UUCUGACGGGUGCCGCGCGCGCCAUCAGCUCGGCCACUCCUGCGCCGCGCCACGACCGCACACCACCUCCGAAACGAUUCGAACGAGAGGUUUCUUCAACGAUUUUAACGGGCCACAGGUUAGCAAAUUCUUCAGAAACGGAUGAAGUAUAGAAAAGGAAGUCGUCAGAUGUGAAGAGUUGGUGGAAGUUCAGGGUUGAAAUGGCCAUUACCUCACAGUCACGUGGUCAUGUUGGUACAACGUGUGAUGUGACGUAGUGGAAGUCUCGACCUGAACGUAUCGUCGAACCCGCACCAUGAGCUCCACGUAACAAGACAAAGUGAAGAUUGUUUAUACGUUGUGUUGAUGUGUGUAUGUAUGUAUCGUUAAAAGUUUUUAUGAUUUUAUAUUUGUGUUUUUAUAUAAUUAUUUAUUUCAGAACUAUAUCUGUUUGUGAACUGUAUUGAUGUCUAUUACUAUAAUAUGUUACAUUUUUCGUAUUUGUUUGUUUUGCAAUAUUUAUAAAACUUGUUCUAUUUGUACUUUGUGUGUCAAUACAAAUAAUUAACCUAA